GAGAGGGGAAAAAAAGGAAAAGAGGAAAACCAUAAGAGUGCGGGAGAGAGAGAGAGAGAGAGAAUUGCGAGAGAGAGUGAUUGGAGGCGAGUGCGGGAGGCGAUUGAUCGGAAGUUCUGAAAGAGGUGAGGUCCCGGUAGAUUUGGUGAGAGAAGAGUAUGAAAGCAAGAGGUGUAGGGAAUAUGGAGAAAGGAAAUGCUUUGAGGCGGAAUUGUAUUCGGGAGUAGUAAACGGGGAAGAAGGUGAUACAUUCGUGAGCUAUAGGGGAGAGAGGGGAGUUCUAGUAGGCCGAUAUUUAGGGAUUUCAUUGAGUACAUAAGGAGGAGGAUUAGAGAAGGUUAGAGGUGGAGUCGGCUAGGCUGUGGGGAGAGAGGACUGCUAGGAAUGAGGGGAACUGAGCAAACCGAGAGAUGAGGGAGACGGACAGGGAUGAGGGCAUCGGUUGGCCGACACUUACUGGUUCAGGUGUGUGUGUUUGGGAGGCCUUUGGCCGAUACUUAGGGAUUUUGGGGUGCCGAUGUGGUGAGAAGGCACGUCUGUGUGUGUGUGUCCGUGGCCAUUCAGUGGUCGAUAGGUGCCUUGGCGUUUGCUGGUGCUCAAGGUGCCGAUAGGGUGAAUGAGGCACGUCAUGUGUGUGUGGCCACUCAGUGGUCGAGAUGUGGUUGUAGGGAAGCAGAUGCUAGUGUGUGGAGGUGCCAGUAGAGUGAAGAGGCACGGUUGUGUGAGUGUGGCCCUUAAAGGGUCGAUAGGUGUUUGGGAGCGUCUACUAUUGUGGUGAGACAGUGGAUGCGGCACAGGUGUGCGUGGGUGGCCUUUCAAGGGUUGUUACUUGCACAAGAGGUGCAGUGGAAAGUGGGUGGUGUGAAUGUGGGAAAAAGAAAUAUACGGUUGAGUCUGGUGAUGUCGAGUGGUGGUAUUUGUGGGGGUUAUUAGUUGUUUGGGUUGUUAUGGUAUUUGGUGUGGCAAUGCUGUCGAACGGUUUGGGUGGGUUUGUGUUCUGUAUAGGGCCAUAAUGGAAUAUUAGGUUAGAGUAAGAGGGGUGUCAGACUAUGUCGACCAGUUGCAGGGGGCGAGGUUAGAGACAGUAGGUAGCAGAUGGGAAUGAGUGUGAGUGUGAGAGAAGCAUGGGUGGAGAUGAGGUGAAGUUAGCAGGAAGGAAUGAGCAACGAGUGUAGAAUAAAAUGUUGGGAAGGGAGUCUAACAAAUUGUCAUAUUUUAGUUUUAAAUUCUAAAUUAUUCUUAUUGGGAUAUGUAUAUUAAUUACUUUCAUUUUAAGAUGCAGUGUAAUAGAAAUUGAAAUCGAAAUAUUUAGUACGGGACUCCAUACUUAAGAAGAUAGAAUAGUAGAAUUAAAAUUGAUAUGAAAUGUUAUAAUUACCUGUGCUAAAACGAUAGUUAAUUCUCAUGUGUUCUUUUGUAUUCAUUAGGUUAAUUUUAGUUAAAUAUUGUAUAUUUUGUAAAAAAUUGUGUUUACUUUAUUGCAAGAGUUUUUACGGCA